GAUCAACGCUGGCGGCGUGCCUAAUGCAUGCAAGUCGGACGGGGUGGGCUUCGGCCCGCUCACGUGGCGGACGGGUGCGGAACACGUGGCCAACCUGCCCGGGGGCGGGGGAUAGCCGUGGGAAACCGCGGGUAAUUCCGCAUGGGCUCGCGCCUCCGUGGGGGGCGUGAGGAAAGACCGGCGCGAGCUGGUCACCCUCGGAGGGGGCUGCGGCCGAUUAGCUAGACGGUGGGGUAACGGCUUACCGUGGCGAUGAUCGGUAGCUGGUCUGAGAGGACGGCCAGCCACACGGGGACUGAGAGACGGCCCCGACUCCUACGGGAGGCAGCAGCAAGGAAUCUUCCGCAAUGGGGGCAACCCUGACGGAGCAACGCCGCGUGGGGGAUGAGGCGCUUCGGCGCGUAAACCCCUUUUCCCCGGGAAGAAGGCCGCCUCGUGCGGCUUGACGGUACCGGGGGAAGAAGGACCGGCUAACUACGUGCCAGCCGCCGCAGUAAAAC
rnacentral:rRNA from 1 species